rnacentral:rRNA from 1 species
UACGUAGGUGGCAAGCGUUGUCCGGAUUUACUGGGCGUAAAGAGCGCGCAGGCGGUCGUGCAAGUCGCGUGUGAAAGCCCCCGGCUCAACUGGGGAGGGUCACGCGAUACUGCUCGACUUGAAGGCAGGAGAGGGAAGUGGAAUUCCCAGUGUAGUGGUGAAAUACGUAGAGAUUGGGAAGAACACCAGUGGCGAAGGCGGCUAUCUGGACGGUUUCUGACGCUAAGACGCGAAAGCGUGGGGAGCAAACAGG